rnacentral:rRNA from 1 species
GACGUAGGGCGCGAGCGUUGUCCGGAUUUAUUGGGCGUAAAGAGCUCGUAGGCGGCUUGUUGCGUCGUCCGUGAAAACCUGUGGCUCAACUACAGGCUUGCGGUCGAUACGGGCGGGCUGGAGUUCGGUAGGGGAGACUGGAAUUCCUGGUGUAGCGGUGAAAUGCGCAGAUAUCAGGAGGAACACCGGUGGCGAAGGCGGGUCUCUGGGCCGAUACUGACACUGAGGAGCGAAAGCGUGGGGAGCGAACAGG